AGCCAUUUUGUCUCAGAGCCUAAAAAAAAGGCUUUCUGGAAAGCCUACGUAGAAAAAAACAAGGAGUGUAAACUUGUCAGCAGCACAGUGGGUCAUCCUUCAAGCAUCAGAGCAGCAAAAGCCAUCCCACAGUGAGAAAUUGGCAACGGAAUUCGCCAUUCCAGAAAAAGAAGCAUCAAUAUAGAGAAAGAAGAAAAAUAUUCUGUGUCAUACUUGGUGAAAUGUGAUGUAGAUAUAAAUUUAGAACAUGCCAAGUCUUCUAAAAAAUCCCAUCUGGCUUAAGGUGACCUCUGCCUCGGGGAGCUGAAUGCAUUGCAGAGACCCUCAGGUGGCAUGGGACACUGAGGAGAUGUCCACCGGCUGCAAUGCAAACAUGGUGACAUCCUAAGUCUCACCACAGCACUUUGCCUUUUUGCUAGACUAAAUAAGCUAAUGGAUGUACCUCUAGCUACUCUACAAUCAAUCCUGAGGAGAAUGAAAGUCAACGAGUCCCACUCAAAAACGAACAUGAAAAAUUCUAUUUCUUCUGUUUAUUUGAACCCUUCCUUCAUCUGGCAUCAGAAAGGAAUAUAUUUAAGUCAGGAGCUGAUCUGUAUCAGUGAUGUGAAGAAAUUGUGUUGCUAGGAAAGCACAUAGCAGCCAAGGAUUGACACAGCUGAUAUCUAAAGGGUGGUAAGCAAGUCAGUAAGACUGUGAGCUGACUAAAUUACACAGAUCUGUGAGAUGCUGAAUCUGGAUUAUCACUCUUGGGGUUUAUCACUGUUUAACUUUGCAGAUCAACUUCCAAUUCACUUGAAAGUCAAUUGCCCUCACACAGUCCUCCAUAGUAUCAUGUCAAUAUAAGUUUAUGUACAGAAGUAAAAAUUUACUGGGUGUACCUACUGGAUAGGAUGUGCUGAUAGAAUCUUGUUUUGGGGAAAAGAGGUAGAUAUAAAGGUUAAGUCAUGCCAUCAGGAUGAGUUAGGUUAGAUACUUUCAGCAACAUGAAGACUUUCAAAUCUGUCCUCUCCUAGGGAAAAGCCUUCCUGGGCAUAAGAUCUCUCUUCUGUUAGAUCUGUUCCUUUGUGCAAGAGCAAACUAAAGGUUUAAGGAUGUCAGAGCAGAAAGAAAUAGUUGGACUUUUUGUGUCAGUUUUGCAGGUAGAGUGAGCUGUCUUUCUCCAGACUUCAUGCUGGCUGAUGUUGAGCCAGGUCAAAGUCAAAACCCAAGGCUAGUAACUAAUCUGAAGGGCAGAAUUUAUUAGGUUGGGCCCAUUGCCAAGUCAAGGAAACAUAGAAUCACAGAAUGGCCUGGAUUGAAAAGGACCGCAAUGAUUAUUGAGU